rnacentral:lncRNA from 1 species
ACUUGAUCCCGCGGUAGCAGCAGAGACAGCAAGCAGUCACGGGGGCCUAUAAGGUGCCUAAAACUGAAGGAGGGAAACCGUUAUGUCUGAUCAGGAGAGCUGUCUCCCAAGAGGAUGUGGUGAACCCCCAUUCCUAUUUUUCUCUCUCUUCCCUCCUGCUGCUUGGUCCCGGAUAUGGGUGCAGUUGUGGGAAGUACUGAAAGCCCCAUCUUUCUGGGGUCAGAGGCUAAAAGGUGAACCCCAGGGAAGAAAGAGUCAUGGGGAAAAUUUUGGAGAGAGCAUAGCUUGGGAAAACAACCCCAUAAGAUUAUUUAUAAAUUCCUAGGCUUACUCCCUAACUGUAAAGGAAUGAAUCUAACUCUAACUAAUAUACCAAAGAUUUUGAAAACUGAAUUGUGGGAUAGAACACUGUCCAGGUCCCAGAGUGGCCACCGAGUGGCACAUACAUGAGACAGAUCUGAAUAGCACUGCAGAGGCUUUGAAACUGAGCUGAAAUUGGAGCUACAACCCACAGAAGGCUGGUUGGGAUAUGCAGCCUGAACCCAAACAAGUUGAUUGCCUGUUAAAAAUAUCUACAUUGCCCAUAGGAUUUAACAUAGCCCAGAGUCUCCCAAAACAUCCAAGAUAAAAUCUAAAAUCACUCGGCAUAUACCAAGAACCCGAAAAACCUCAAAUUUCAUGGAAAAAGACAAACAACAGACUCCAAUGCCAUGAUGAUAAGUGUUGGAAUUAUCAAAGACUUUAAAGCAACUAUUAUUAAAAGGUUUCAAGAGGUAAGGAGAACACUCUGGAAAUGAGUGGAAAGACAGAAAGUCUCCACAGAGAAAUAGAAUAUAUAAAGAGGAAUCAAGUGGAAACUUUGACCUGAAAAAUAACCAAAAGAAAAAAUGCACACUAUGGGCUCAAAAGGAAAAUGAAAAUAAUAGUGUAAGUAGUGAACUUAUUGGUAGAUUCAUAAAAAUUAUCCAAUCCAAACAAUAAGGAAAAAAAUUAAGAAAAAAUAAUGAACAUAGAUAGCCUUUGGAAGCUGUAAGAAAAUACUAAAGGUUUAACAUUUGUCAUUGGAGUUCCAGAAGGAGAUGAGAAAGGGUCUGUUAUAGAAAAAUAUUUGAGGAAAUAAUGGCUAAAAAGUCCCAAAUUUGGCCAAAGACAUGAACUUACAGAUUUAAGAAGCUCAACGGAUCUUAAAUAGUAUAAACCCAAAGAAAUCUAUGCCCAGACACAUCACAAUUAAACUGCUAAAAACUAAAUACAAAGAAAAAAAUCUUGAGAGUAGCCAGAGAAAAGAUCACAUUACUUCUAGGAGAAUAGCAAUUUGAAUGUCAGCAAAUUCUCUUCAGAAAGUGCAGAAGCUGGAAGGAUGCGAAACAACAUUUUUUAAAGCACUGGAAGAAAAAACUGUUAACGCAAUCCUUUACUAAUGAGGGUAAAAUAAAGGCAUUACUAGACAAAGGAAAAGUAAGAGAAUUUACUGCCGGAAGACUUUUUUAUGACCUCAUUUUGUUAGAGUAGUUUUAGGUUUACAAUAAAAUUGAAAGGAAGGUAUAGAGAUUUUCCAUUUACCCCCCCUACCCCCACACAUGCAUAGCCUCCUUCACUCUCAACAUCACUCACAAAUUGGUACGUUUUUUUACCAAGGAUGAACCUACAUUAAUACACUGUAAUCAAGUCCAUAGUUAGUAUGUAAGGGUUCAUUUUUAAUGUUGUAUGUUCAGUGGGUUUGGAUUAAUGAAUUAUGAUAUAUGUCCAUUAUUAUAAUAUCACAUAGAGCAUUUUCACUGCCCUAAAAACCUUGUGUGUCUCUACUCACCUACCCCCUGAAAAUACCGAUCUUGGAGUUCCCAUCAUAUAGGAAUUCCCGUUAUGGCUCAGUGGUUAACGAACCUGACUAGUAUCCAUGAGGACGCGGGUUCGGUCCCCAACCUCGCUCACUGGGCUAAGGAUCUGGUGUCGCCUCGAGCUGCGAUGUAGGUGGCAGACGCAACUCAGAUUUGGUGUUGCUGUGGCUGUGGUGUAGGCCAGCGGCUACAGCUCCAAUCCGACCCCUAGCCUGGGAACCUCCAUACGCCGUGGGUGCGGCCCUAAAAAGACACACACACACACAAAAAAAAAAAAAAAAAAAAAAGAAAGAAAGAAAGAAAAAGGAAAAAGAAAAACAAAUAUAGCCAGCCAGAAAAACAGAAGCAGGCCACUGUACAUAAGACUAGUGCUUUCCUCUCCUGCUGUCACCAAACAUCCUCCUCCUAGGAUGGAAAAACUGGGAUAGCAUUGUACAGAAGGCUGGGCUGUGGGCGGGAGAAUCCCAAGACAGGAGGUGAACCUUCCAAUUAGCAGGGGGAUGUUUAUGCAGGCACGAGGAGAUGUGGCAGCACGUAAUGCGGGAGUCCUCUAGCAUGUACAGUAUGAAGUAAAGGGUCAUGCGAAAGAGCAUCAAAGUGUAUAGUUUGCUCUAAUUUGAAAUCGGGGCAUGGACAAACCGACCUUUUCCUUUUUAACCAUCUACUGGUAUGUUGGGAGAUAAACAACAUCUAAAACUCUGGAGCUUUUAAUGGCUUCAUUGGAGGAAACAACUGUGCUUAGUUUUAGUGACCAGAGAUGAACUUGAAAUAGUUUCUAAGUAAAAAGUUGAUUUUUUGUUUUCAAUUUAAUCUUUCCUGAAUUGUUCGUUUUGGAUUUUAAGCCGUGCUGCUAUUGUGAUUUUUAAAGAUGUUAUUUUGGGUGAUGUUUGACCAUCUAAGGAAAUUAGUGC